rnacentral:rRNA from 1 species
GUUGUUCGGAAUUACUGGGCGUAAAGGGCGCGUAGGCGGUUCGCUAAGUUGGAUGUGAAAACUCUGGGCUCAACCCAGAGCCUGCAUCCAAAACUGGCGGGCUAGAGUUCUGGAGGGGGUAGCGGAAUUCCUGGUGUAGCGGUGAAAUGCGUAGAUAUCAGGAGGAACACCGGUGGCGAAGGCGGCUACCUGGACAGAAACUGACGCUGAGGCGCGAAAGCUAGGGGAGCAAACAGG